rnacentral:lncRNA from 1 species
CGCUGCAUUUUGUUUAGCGACACGUCCCGCGGAUACACCGACACGGCACGGAAUAUGCAGAAAAGCCCCGGAUAUGUGUAUGGAGAUAAUAGGGCAGCUAAACCGACAUUUUUGGCUGCCAGCUCAACAAACCGCGACGCGAACACGGAUACGGGAUCGGGUACGACUACGAGGAAAACGGGGAACACGGUAAACGGCCACAGGGCGGACGACAGUGGCACUCGAUGUUGAGUGUGGGAGGAUGUGGGUACAGCGUAGGUGUUAGUAUUUUAGUUUGCGGCAGGGGCACGUUGCAAGUGGCACGUUGUGAAUUUGCAACUAGCCGUUGGAUUUGCGGCUUUAGCACAAACUCAAUCUGCGUGGACCGAGUCCGAGGUGGCGCCACAAAAGCGGAUGUAAUGCCAGCCAGCGGUUGCACUCGCUCUGGUCAUGUUGAUGCCACACACACUCACACACACACUAGGACACUAGAAUAUUGGCACACCCUUUGACCCUAGACACAGAUUCUCUCCAUAUUUCGGAGCGGGGCUGUACAGUUGUAAAUUAAUUCCGUUUUCACGUUUAGCCUGUGGCUGUUUCGUUUCGUUUAGUUUCGGAGGAUCUCACUGAGGUUCACUUAUGCCCACGAUAUCGUUAUCCUUUCGGGCUAUUCUCUCGGAGCUAUGUCAACCGCGCGAUGCUUGUUCAUUGC